AUUCUACUCCCUCCGUUGCACAAUACAUGCCUUCUAUUUGUCAAAAUAUAUAUGUAUCUAGACAUGUUUUAGUAUAUAGGUACAUCCAUUUUUGGACGAAUGGAAGUCAAGUAUUUUGGAACGGAGGGAGUACACA
rnacentral:pre_miRNA from 1 species